AUAUUGCAGGUAACUUGUAAUCACUGUUCUCUAUCUGCCAAGCCUUUUUUACUUGUUCCUAGUCAAGAAAAAAAAUUACAUAAUAAAUGGUUUGUUCUGUUUAGGCACGUACUGGCAGUACUUCAUUUCAAUGAAAACCUUCACAGACAGCCAAAAAAAACAAAAAAUGGAACACCAUAUUAUUCUGUGACAUACCCAAAAUUUAAAUCAGGGGAUGAAGUAGUAAGAACUGUUUCUUCAGCACCAUCAUAUUACUAUGUUAAUGAAAUCAAAAAUGUCAUGGUUCUUAGUUGUGAGGAAUCCAUGGACAACAUAUUUAAGAAGUAUAAGGAAAAAGUCCCAGAAGCCUUAAACAAAACUUUCUCGGAUCAAUUUCCAAAACUGAGGCAAUCCAACGGCAUUUGGAUAGGAAACAACUAUCUUCAACACCAUUGUUUCCCACAUAUCAACAGCAAGAUGUACUGCAAGCAAAGGUUUAGACAAAGAAAAACAAGCUGCUUCAACAGGUCCUUCAGAUC